rnacentral:lncRNA from 1 species
AUCCAAUGAUCAACAGAGUAUGCUGCGUCUGCAUGGGAAGGAAGUUUGUUCCCAUCUUGAGGAUAAUUGGUGUGAAGUCCUACCUUCUCAAAGAACACCAACUUUUUCAACAGGUUUGACAUAGUCUCCUGUAUUCAGCCAGUGGAAGUCUCUACUUAGAGUGAACUCCAUCCAUUGUCUGCUCCAAAAUGGUCUGGACUAUGCAGAAUCAACUCUCCACAACCACAAUCGAGUUUUAGCAGUGUCUUUUGAGAUCCAUUUGUCAUCUGUGUUGCACCAGCAGAAAAUCAUCUUUCUGGAUCAUAUUCAAGUAAAACACUUUCUCAGAAGAUGUGCCCAUACCAGUUCUUGAAGGCUUCUUGCUGAGUUCAGUUAGAACUGGACAAGUUCCUCUGCAAUAAUAGUAUCAUGUUCUGCACACGGUUGGAAUCUGACUGGUACUGAGAAGAGCAGAGACGCUAAAUUGCAGCCACACUGUACUUGAAGGAGUUGUCCUUGUUUCAGUUUCAAGGGUCCUACUGUUAUGCACAGAUUUGGUUUUCCCUCAUCAUAUCACUGAAAAUGAUUUUCAGUAAAGAAAUAUGACCCCGAGACAAUUAAAAGAGGCAUUUAUAUCAAAGGAAAGAAUCCUAUAGCAGCCUGCUUAUUAAAUACAUAAUGCUUUGGUGGUUUUUCCUUUUGGAAUUUUUUAAUCAUGGGAAAAUUUCAUCUGAAGCAAACUGAAAAGUAUGAAGCAAAGAUUUGUAUAGUUUGUUCUCUGGGCUGCAUGCAGGUAUGAUGGUGUUGGGGCCAAGUAUCUGUGCGAUGAAGAGGCUGAACUGCACUAACUGCUGUUAAUGGGAAAAAUAGGUGGCUAGACCCUCUCCCCGCAGUAAAUCCUCCCAUGGUUCUCUUUGGUGACAGCAAAGGUGACCACUGCUGCUUCUGUGGAGUGACGUAACAUAUGGCUGUCUUUACACAGUAUUGGUCUUCCUGGAGACAGCAAAAGGCUUUCUUCUGCAACUAGAAAUGAUUUCCAUGUGCAAAUAAAAUCUGAUCAAGG